GGGAAACAGGCUGCCCGAGGGCUCCAUAGCCGCCACGCGGAGCCGCCAGGGCUGCCCUUCCUGCGCUGGGAACCGGCUGCUCCAGGCUAGACAGCCCCCUCCCUGCGUGCAGGGCGAGCGAGGGGGAGCGCCGGGACCGGAGCCUGCCCUGCCCGCAGGACCGCCCCAUACGCGGCGGCAGCCCCACAACAGCUCCCGCCCGCCUCCUCUCCUCCUCCCUCCGCGGGUCCGGCCCUCGGCGCCUCCCCACCCUCGCUCCCCACCCGGCCGGCUCAGCUGUCCCUGCGCAGGGCUACUGACGCUCAAGCGUCGCUCCUGGCACCACAUGGAACCCUCAGCAAACCCCAUGAAGUCCUAUACCAUGAAGGCCUCAUACAGACCAGGAGCCUGAGGCGCCGCCUGCUGUCCCGCACGCUGCCAUCUGAGCCCAGGUGGCCUCCAGUGUAGUUACCUCAGCCCACAGCAAGGCACAGUGAACCAGCCUGGCCCCGGGCCACUGGGCAGGCCACCCAGGUCCAUGCUGGGAAGCCCGCGGACAACAAGAGGGCCGGGCCCACCCCAGCCUCCUGCUCUCCAGCCCCACACCUCAAAAACGUGCGGCCGAGGGAAAUGCCUGCAGUGGCCCACUCUGGGCGGCCAGGGGUCGGGCGGGCCCAGGCAGCCCUGAGGGUCAGGGAUACCCAGGCAUGCCAGAAAGGGCCCAACUCCCAGCUGAGCCCAGGACAGCAUCUGGCCAGCAGUGGGCAGGGGCCGACAGGCCGGACGUUUCAGCCCACUCCCUGCCACGUGCUGGGGAAGCCUCAGAGGAGCCUGACUCAAUGGCCUGGGUGAGAACCAGCUCCUGGCGGGAGGAGUGCCCCAGGCUGGCAGCGGGCAGUUCUUCUACCACUCCACGGAGGUCCGGACAGGCCUGUGCUUCCGGGACACACAUCACACACACCCCUGGGGCAGCUCCGAGAGGGGGCUGUGCCUAUCCCUGCAUCCCAGGUCUGACGGCACAGAACGGUGGACAACGGGAAGAGACAGGUCUGCCAGAGGCGGCCCCGGCCCUCUCCUCUGCCUCCCACAGCCCCCAGCUCUGCCUGCCCUACCUUGGCCCAGCUGAAUCAGCUCCUCCAUGCUGUACCUGUCCAUGGCUGCCACACAGGCCAGGCUGCUCCGAGAGCCGGCAGGGAGGAAGGCGAGGCAGGAAGGAGGGAAGGGGUGGGAGGCAGAGGGAGGGCCCACUCAUGCCCUGGUAGCAGCGGCUCCUCCUCGCAGCCACCCCUUAGUCAGUAAGCAGAGAUGAAGCCCAGCCGACUGACGGGUCAGACCAGCCCAGCAGACCUGCCUGGGGGUGCAGGGGACUGGCCUGCCUGCAAUCCCAGAGAGCCCUCCGGCCCCAGCCCACGGGUCUUCCCUACUGUUCCUGCCCCGCCCAGCAGACCCCCCGCCCAGCAGACCCCACCCUGUAGCCUCCCCUUCCCGCUGCAGGCCCCACCAGCCCAGCCCUGCCCUCCCACCCUCCCACCCACAUUCCAGGCAUCCAUGUGCCCAGCGGUAUUUCAGGAGCCAGGCGGGAGCAGAGCCCCAAACUGCCCACCACACCCCACUCCUUGAGACUCACAUUCCUCAGCCCCAAAGGUGGUCUCUUCCUCCACCUGAGUCCUCCCCAACCAGCACAGCCCCAGGCAUCUGUCCAGGGGCAAUGGUGACACCUGCCUCCCCUCUCCAUACCUCUCCACCCAGGUGCUUGCUGACCAGUGAAGUGCAAAUCAAAUCCCAUCGUAACUACCCCUUAGAAGCCUGCCGGCGAUCUACAGAAAUCCCGCAAACGGGUGACUCGGCCAAGCCAGUGAUCCCUGUGGAAAGCUGGCCGGGCCAUAGUCCCUCCACCUAGAGCACCCUGUGGCUGGGAAGAAGGGCAAGGCAGCCAGGCCACCUCCAGGCUUCCUCCUUGACGCAGGGCCACAGAGGGUCAAGGGGGGAGGUCAAGGCACAGGCGUGUCCUCCGUGUAGAGGGGAAGUCAUGGUGGCUACCCAACCCCUGCCCUUUGCUGUGGGAAGCAGCUCUAGGUGCUGUGCGUGUACAGCGCUCACCGUGGUGGCGGCUACCUGGCCCCUGCCCGUUGCUGGUGCAUGGACAGCGCUCAGCUGGCGUCUCCUCCACACAAUCCUCGGUUCCUUCAGAAUUUUGAGCCAGGCAAAGCAUCGCCAUUUGCAAUGUAAAUUAGGGCUGGGCGGUAGCUAUAAUCCCAGCACUUUGGGAGGCUGAGGCAGGCGGAUCACCUGAGGUCAGGACUUCAAGACCAGCCUGGCCAACAUGGCGAAACCCCGUCUCUACUAAAAAAAAAAAACAAAAAUUAGCCAGGCAUGGUGGCUCAUGCCUGUAAUCCCAGCUACUCAGGAGGCUGAGACAGGAGAAUCGCUUCAACCCGGGAGGCGGAGGUUGCAGUGAGCCAAGACUGUGCUAUUGCACUCCAGCCUGGGCAACAGAGCGGGACUCCAUCUCAAAACAAUAAGUAAAAUAAAAAUGAAACGUAAAUGAAA